rnacentral:rRNA from 1 species
CUUGGUGACUAUCGCGGAAGGACAAACACACGAUCCCAUACCGAACUCGACCGUGAAAACUUCCAGCGCUGAUGGUACUGCGUCUUAAGACGUGGGAGAGUAGGUCGUUGCCAAGC